UACGUAGGGGGCUAGCGUUGUCCGGAAUCAUUGGGCGUAAAGAGCGUGUAGGCGGUCCGGUAAGUCCGUUGUGAAAGUCAGGGGCUCAACCCUUGAAUGCCGGCGGAUACUGUCGGGCUAGAGUCCGGAAGAGGCGAGUGGAAUUCCCGGUGUAGCGGUGAAAUGCGUAGAUAUCGUAAGGAAGACCAGUGGCGAAGGCGAGUCUCUGGACAGUUACUGACGCUGAGGCACGAAGGCCAGGGGAGCAAACGGG
rnacentral:rRNA from 1 species